rnacentral:rRNA from 1 species
UACGUAGGGGGCAAGCGUUGUCCGGAAUCAUUGGGCGUAAAGCGCGUGUAGGUGGUCCGGUAAGUCCGCUGUGAAAGUCGGGGGCUCAACCCUCGAAUGCCGGUGGAUACUGUCGGGCUAGAGUGCGGAAGAGGCGAGUGGAAUUCCUGGUGUAGCGGUGAAAUGCGCAGAUAUCAGGAGGAACACCAAUUGCGAAGGCAGCUCGCUGGGACGUAACUGACGCUGAGACGCGAAAGCGUGGGGAGCAAACAGG